rnacentral:tRNA from 1 species
UGGGGUGUUGAGCAAAUGGCUGGCUCGCCUGACUGUAAAUCAGGUUCUUCGGACGUGCAGGUUCAAGUCCUGUCACCCCAAC